CCUACGGGUGGCAGCAGUGGGGAAUAUUGGACAAUGGGGGCAACCCUGAUCCAGCCAUGCCGCGUGUGUGAAGAAGGCCCUCGGGUUGUAAAGCACUUUCAGUGAGGAAGAACGCCUGGUGGUUAAUACCCAUCAGGAAAGACAUCACUCACAGAAGAAGCACCGGCUAACUCCGUGCCAGCAGCCGCGGUAAUACGGAGGGUGCGAGCGUUAAUCGGAAUUACUGGGCGUAAAGCGCGCGUAGGUGGCUUGAUAAGCCGGUUGUGAAAGCCCCGGGCUCAACCUGGGAACGGCAUCCGGAACUGUCAAGCUAGAGUGCAGGAGAGGAAGGUAGAAUUCCCGGUGUAGCGGUGAAAUGCGUGGAGAUCGGGAGGAAUACCAGUGGCGAAGGCGGCCUUCUGGACUGACACUGACACUGAGGUGCGAAAGCGUGGGUAGCAAACAGGAUUAGAUACCCUUGUAGUC
rnacentral:rRNA from 1 species